GAUCAGGAGAAGGUGAAAAGAAACGGGUGAUUACAGUUUUGAAUGACGACAAGGAUGCUGUGAGAGUAUACAGACAAAUGCUUAUAGUUCGUGAUUGAGACACAACCUGUAUGAGCACAAGAAAAUUUCACAAUGUCUUCAACUUGGUGCAUAAAUUUUGCUUAUAAAUUAGCUUUAUUGAGAAGGGCAAAGAC